AGGGAAACCGAGUCUUAACUGGGCGUUAAGUUGCAGGGUAUAGACCCGAAACCCGGUGAUCUAGCCAUGGGCAGGUUGAAGGUUGGGUAACACUAACUGGAGGACCGAACCGACUAAUGUUGAAAAAUUAGCGGAUGACUUGUGGCUGGGGGUGAAAGGCCAAUCAAACCGGGAGAUAGCUGGUUCUCCCCGAAAGCUAUUUAGGUAGCGCCUCGUGAACUCAUCUUCGGGGGUAGAGCACUGUUUCGGCUAGGGGGUCAUCCCGACUUACCAACCCGAUGCAAACUGCGAAUACCGAAGAAUGUUAUCACGGGAGACACACGGCGGGUGCUAACGUCCGUCGUGAAGAGGGAAACAACCCAGACCGCCAGCUAAGGUCCCAAAGUCACAGUUAAGUGGGAAACGAUGUGGGAAGGCUCAGACAGCCAGGAUGUUGGCUUAGAAGCAGCCAUCAUUUAAAGAAAGCGUAAUAGCUCACUGGUCGAGUCGGCCUGCGCGGAAGAUGUAACGGGGCUAAACUGUGCACCGAAGCUGCGGCAGCGACGCUUAUGCGUUGUUGGGUAGGGGAGCGUUCUGUAAGCCUGCGAAGGUGUCCUGUGAGGGAUGCUGGAGGUAUCAGAAGUGCGAAUGCUGACAUAAGUAACGAUAAUGCGGGUGAAAAGCCCGCUCGCCGGAAGACCAAGGGUUCCUGUCCAACGUUAAUCGGGGCAGGGUGAGUCGACCCCUAAGGCGAGGCCGAAAGGCGUAGUCGAUGGGAAACGGGUUAAUAUUCCCGUACUUGGUGUUACUGCGAAGGGGGGACGGAGAAGGCUAUGUUGGCCGGGCGACGGUUGUCCCGGUUUAAGCGUGUAGGCUGGUUUUCCAGGCAAAUCCGGAAAAUCAAGGCUGAGGCGUGA
rnacentral:rRNA from 1 species